UAUUUGCGUGAGGGAUAGUAAUGAAAAGCCCACAGCAAGCGAAGGAAAUAGCGCUGAGCGAGGACUUGUAAUGAAUAGCCCGACCCGAG
rnacentral:misc_RNA from 1 species